rnacentral:rRNA from 1 species
AAUCAUGUAAGAUUUUAAAAGUCGAACAGACUUAAAUAUUUAAAUUUCUCCACCUAAAUUUUAUCUUAAUUCAACAUCGAGGUCGCAAACAUUUUUAUCAAUAUGAUCUUUCCAAAAAUAUUACGCUGUUAUCCCUAAGGUAAUUAAUUUUAUAUUUUAAAUUAAUAAUAAUUAAGUCAUUAAUUUAUGUUAUUUAUUUAUUAAAGUUUUAUUAAUUUAAUUAUCCCCCCAACAAAAUAUAAAAUAUAUAAAUUUAUUUAAAAUUUAUAAAAAUAAUUAUUUUAUAUAUUAUUAUAUAAAAUUCUAUAGGGUCUUCUCGUCCCAUAAAAUAAUUUAAGUAUUUUUACUUAAAAUAAAAUUUCUUUUUUUUAAUUUGAAACAGUAUAAAUUUCAUCAAUUCCUUCAUACAAGUCUACAAUUAAUAAACAAUUUAUUAUGCUACCUUUGCACAGUCAAUUUACUGCAGCUAUUUAAUUAUAAAAUCAUUGAGCAGAAACAAUUUUAAAUUAUAC